GAAGGGACCUAGCGUAGUUCGGAAUUACUGGGCUUAAAGAGUUCGCAGGUGGUUGAAAAAGUUGGUGGUGAAAUCCCAGAGCUUAACUCUGGAACUGCCAUCAAAACUUUUCAGCUAGAGUUUGAUAGAGGAAAGCAGAAUUUCUAGUGUAGAGGUGAAAUUCGUAGAUAUUAGAAAGAAUACCAAUUGCGAAGGCAGCUUUCUGGAUCAAUACUGACACUGAGGAACGAAAGCAUGGGUAGCGAAGAGGAUUAGAUACCCUCGUAGUCCAUGCCGUAAACGAUGUGUGUUAGACGUUGGAAAUUUAUUUUCAGUGUCGCAGCGAAAGCGAUAAACACACCGGCUGGGGAGUACGACCGCAAGG
rnacentral:rRNA from 1 species